rnacentral:rRNA from 1 species
GACGAACGCUGGCGGCGUGCCUAAUACAUGCAAGUAGAACGCAGUUGCGAACGGGUGAGUAACGCGUAGGUAACUGCCUCAUAGCGGGGGAUAACUAUUGGAAACGAUAGCUAAUACCGCAUACUGUGAGAUGGACCUGCGUUGUAUUAGCUAGUUGGUGAGGGAAAGGCUCACCAAGGCGACGAUACAUAGCCGACCUGGGAGGGUGGUCGGCCACAAUGGGAAUGGGAAACGGCCCCGGAUCCGACGGGAGGGAGCAGUAGGGGAUCUUCGGCAAAUGACGGAAGUCUGACCGAGCAACGCCGCGUGAGUGAAGAAGGUUUUCGGAUCGUAAAGCUCUGUUGUGAGAGAAGCGGUAACUAAACAGAAAGGGACGGCUAACUACGUGCCAGCAGCCGCGGUAAUUC